UUGACCUCGGAUCAGGUAGGACUACCCGCUGAACUUAAGCAUAUCAAUAAGCGGAGGAAAAGAAACCAACAGGGAUUGCCCCAGUAACGGCGAGUGAAGCGGCAACAGCUCAGAUUUGGAAUCUGGUCCCCAGGGCCCGAGUUGUAAUCUGGAGAGGAUGCUUCUGGCGCGGCGCCUUCCGAGUUCCCUGGAACGGGACGCCGGAGAGGGUGAGAGCCCCGUACGGUUGGACGCCUAGCCUUUGUGAAGCUCCUUCGACGAGUCGAGUAGUUUGGGAAUGCUGCUCAAAAUGGGAGGUAAAUUUCUUCUAAAGCUAAAUACCGGCCAGAGACCGAUAGCGCACAAGUAGAGUGAUCGAAAGAUGAAAAGCACUUUGAAAAGAGGGUCAAACAGUACGUGAAAUUGUUGAAAGGGAAGCGCCCGUGGCCAGACUUGUGCCCCGCGGACCACCCGGCGCCCUCAGCGCCGGUGCACUCCGCGGGGCGCAGGCCAGCAUCGGUUUUCCCAGGGGGAUAAAGGCGGCGGGAACGUGGCUCCCUCGGGAGUGUUAUAGCCCGCCGCGCCAUGCCCCUGGGGGGACCGAGGACCGCGCUUCGGCAAGGAUGCUG
rnacentral:rRNA from 1 species